rnacentral:lncRNA from 1 species
CAGGCCAAAGAAGAAGAAGCAAUCAGUUGUUAGACAAGAUACUUAUGUGAUAACACCUUGUAACUUCUCUCUUAUAGAUACAAUGAACUGGGUAUUGGAUACUGAAAGUCCUAUUUAUAUUUGCAAUUCGUUGCAGGGUCUUCAGGUCACUAGGAGAUUUGGAGACGGUGAGAGAUUCCUGAAUGUUAGAGAUGAAAGAUCAGCUCUAGUUCUAGCUUUUAGAAUCA